GCGCCUCGCGGUGGCGGGGGAAGUUGUUUCCGGUCGCGAAGGGGACGACGGGAAUUGCAGUUCGGGGUAGAGCGCGACGGCGCCCCCCGGCGGUGGGGGGACAUGGAUGCGGCCUAAACGGGAACCGGGACCGAAACGGAGCCUGAAACGGGGCCUGAAACGGGGCCUGUAACGGGGGAUUGGGCUGAGAAAGAGGAGGGUGAGGAGGAAGAGAAAGAGGAGCGACACGGAGAGGAGGAAGUGCAUAAACACCACCAGCAACAAAGCUGCAGCAAAAAGACCUUCAACAAACAGCUGCUAAUGCUGAAGCACAGGGAUGUGGGAAGCACUGACUCCAAGCAUCGUGUGCUGCUGUUUCCAAGCCAGUUCAGACACCGUUUCCUCUUCAGCUCUUCUGCUUCACAGUUGGGAACAUACAGCACGACCAGCUUUGCUACAGACGCCUUUUCCUCACCCUCUGUUUAACCUACCAGGAUGUGCAGCUUUUCUCCAGCCUUAACUCCAAGAGAACAAAGCUCCGAAGUGGCUAAAAUUAGAAGCGUAAACAAUCGUUGCUACAGAAAUAGGAGAGGAAAUAUCAGAGGAGCAAUGCCACUCAAUUCCUGAUCUCAAUUAUCCAAGCCACGUCAGAUGCAAAUGAUUGUUUACGCACCUCCUGGGCCAUCCUAUUGCUGCGCUGCUUUAUGUCUCUGAGAUGUAAUUCAUGUUUUGCUUCACGAGGACCGAAAGAAAACCAACCUGGGGGGCCAAAGAGAUGCACAUGAAGCAGUGUCCUCCCAGCAGCUGCACAUGACAGUGUUGUUGCCCCACAUUGGAACGCAUUGCUGGGCUUUGCCAGGAAGGGGAGAAGCAAAGAACAUUCGGGACUACGUGCAGAGCUGCCACGGAUCUGUUCUGCCUCUUGCAUUGGCCUGAGGGAUGCAGUCAUUUGGGGAGGAUGCAAAACCUGAUGCAAAGUCUGCCUGAUUGCAUCUGCUGAGCGCAGAUCGCUUCGGGAGCGGCUGGUUGUGUUCACUCCAUAUUCUGUGUGCUACAACUGUGGGGCAUUUGGGACCUGUUCUUCCUGACCUGCCUCCACCCCCAGCAGCUGCUGCAAAUGGAAUAACACACAGCAAGGCACAACUCGAGCCAGCAACCUCCCCCCAAAAUCCAACUACUUCUCACUUAACUGCUAUUAUCAUCCUAGAUGCAACUGUGGGAAUCAAAUGUUGUUUGUGCCUUUAGAACAAGAGAAGAAUCUUUUCUUUCAAGGUCUCAGUAUAUAAGUGAAGUAGUUUGUAGUUAUUAGGUAGAAGUUAUUACGUACAAAGACUGCAGCUCCUGUCUGUCCAGCUGUCUGAAAUAGAACUAACAAGAUGCCUGUAUAAACUAGCAACAAUGUAUGUUUUAGUGUUUUGUUGUACGCAUUGUAAAAAUAUACAAGUCGUGACAUACCUUAGGAUGUGCCUGAAGAGAUAUCGGGAAGGACUGGAAUCACCCCCCCCCCUCUUUGUUUAACAAAGGUCUCUAGGACAGAAUGGAAGAAGCUUUGAAGGGAAUCAACAUAUCAAUACGAUAAGAGUACCGAGACAUCUUGGAAACAAAACCAGG